rfam:Emiliania huxleyi CCMP1516 EMIHTscaffold_18_Cont957, whole genome shotgun sequence.
CGCCAUCGAAUGAGGCAAGACUACCCGCUGAACUUAAGCAUAUCACUAAGCGGAGGAGAAGAAACUAACCAGGAUGCCCCUAGUAAUGGCGAAUGAAGCGGGCUGAGCUCACGCUGCCAAUCUGGAGGCCUCGCGUAUGCAGCGCCCCCCGAAUUGUGGUCUAGAGAGGCGUUAUCGGCCGCGCCCGCCGCUCAAGUCCCUUGGAACAGGGUGUCGGAGAGGGUGAGAAUCCCGUACCGUGGCGGGUUGCGGCCUUACGAUGCGUCCUCGUCGAGUCGGGUUGCUUGGGAUUGCAGCUUGAAUUGGGUGGUAAAUUCCAUCUAAAGCUAAAUACUGGCGAGAGACCGAUAGCGAACAAGUACCGUGAGGGAAAGAUGCAAAGAACUUUGAAAAGAGAGUCAAAGAGUGCUUGAAAUCGGUAGGAGGAAACCCGGAUGGGCCCGGCUUCGGCGUGCCGACUCAGCCUGGGGUUCUCCCCAGGUGCACUUCUGCGCGCCGGGUCAGCCGCGCCUCGGCGCCGCGCCUCAACCCGGGAGCGGGGCUUUACGGCCAGCUCCCGUCCUGGCGCGGCCCGGGGCCCGGCUGACGGAACGGGCCCCUCCGACCCGUCUAGAAACACGGACCAAGGAGUCUGACACGUGUGCGAGUACCCGGGUGGCAAGCCCGCGUGCGGAAUGAAAGUGAAGGGCAUGCCCUGCCAACCGACCUUGACCUGCUGUGAGGGGUUUGAGUGGAGCACACCUGUCGGGACCCGAAAGAUGGUGAACUAUGCCUGGGUAGGGUGAAGCCAGAGGAAACUCUGGUGGAGGCUCGUAGCGAUACUGACGUGCAAAUCGUUCGUCGAAUCUGGGCAUAGGGGCGAAAGACUAAUCGAACCAUCUAGUAGCUGGUUCCCUCCGAAGUUUCCCUCAGGAUAGCUUGAACGCAACGGUUUUGUCAGGUAAAGCGAAUGAUUAGAGGCCUGUGGGCUGAAACAGCUUGCACCUAUUCUCAAACUUUAAAUGGGCAAGAGGCCCGGGAUGCUUGAGUGAUCCCGGGCGGCGAACGGCGCGUUCAAAGUGGGCCAUUUUUGGUAAGCAGAACUGGCGAUGCGGGAUGAACCGAACGCCGCGCUAAGGUACCCAAGUGUCCGCUCAUCAGAUACCACAAAAGGCGUUGGUACCUCCAGACAGCAGGACGGUGGCCAUGGAAGUCGGAACCCGCUAAGGAGUGUGUAACAACUCACCUGCCGAAGGUACUAGCCCUGAAAAUGGAUGGCGCUCAAGCGGACCACCGAUGCGCGGCCGCCGGCGCGAGCGCGAGGCGCCGGCGAGUAGGAGGGCGCGGGGCUCGCGGCGCAGCCUUGGGCGCGAGCCUGGGUGAAGCGGGCCCCGGUGCAGAUCUUGGUGGUAGUAGCAAAUAUUCAAAUGAGAACUUUGAAGACUGAAGUGGAGAAAGGUUCCGUGUGAACAGCAGUUGGACACGGGUGAGCCGACCCUAAGAGACAGGAAAACUCCGCCGAACGCGGCUGGUUCUGUCAGCCCGUCCGUCGAAAGGGAAUCGGGUUAAUAUUCCCGAGCCAGCGCGUGGAUGGUGGGCGGCGACGCGAACGAACCCGGAGACGCCGGCGGGAGCCCUGGGAAGAGUUCUCUUUUCUUCUUAACUGCCUCCUGCCCUGGAAUCGGUUUAGCCGGAGCGAGGGCUACACGGCAGGCAAAGCACCCUAAGUCUUGGGGUGUCCGGCGCGCUCCCGACGGCCCGUGAAAAUCCGGGGGAGCGGUUCGUUCUCACGCCUGGUCGUACUCAUAACCGCAUCAGGUCUCCAAGGUGAACAGCCUCUAGUCGAUAGAGCAAUGUAGGUAAGGGAAGUCGGCAAAAUGGUUCCGCAACCUCGGGAGAAGGAAUGGCUCUGAAGGCUGGGCGCAGGGGUCCUAGGCUCGAGGCCGGCUGGCUGCGCGGGGACUACGGCCUCACGGCUGCGGAUCCCGCGCGGCCGUCCGGCGGACGGCCUAGGAGCGCUCCGGCUCUCCCUGCGCGACGAACAGCCGCUUCAGAACUGGCGCGGACAAGGGGAAUCCGACUGUUUAAUUAAAACAAAGCAUUGCGAUGGCCCGCGAGGGUGCUGACGCAAUGUGAUUUCUGCCCAGUGCUCUGAAUGUCAAAGUGAAGAAAUUCAACCAAGCGCGGGUAAACGGCGGGAGUAACUAUGACUCUCUUAAGGUAGCCAAAUGCCUCGUCAUCCAAUUAGUGACGCGCAUGAAUGGAUUCGUGAGAUUCCCACUGUCCCUAUCUACUGUCUAGCGAAACCACAGCCAAGGGAACGGGCUUGGAAGAAUCAGCGGGGAAAGAAGACCCUGUUGAGCUUGACUCUAGUCUGUUACUGUGGAACGACUUGAUGGGUGUAGAAUAUGCGGGAGGGGCAACCCGACAGUGAAAUACCGCAACCGUCAACGUUGUUUUACUUACUCGGUGGCGCGGAGGGAGGCUCGCCUCACUUCUGGAUCCAAGCCGCUUCGUGCGCGCGAUCCGCGUCGGGGACACUAACAGGUGGGGAGUUUGGCUGGGGCGGCACGUCUGUUAAAAAAUAACGCAGGCGCCCGAUUUUGAGCUCAAUGAGAACAGAAAUCUCAUGUGGACCGAAAGGGGAAAAGCUCGGUUGAUUUUGAUUUUCAGUACGAAUACAAACCGCGAAAGCGUGGCCUAUCGAUCCUCUCGUCUUUGGGAAUUUCAAGCUAGAGGUGUCAGAAAAGUUACCACAGGGAUAACUGGCUUGUGGCUGCCAAGCGUUCAUAGCGACGUAGCUUUUUGAUCCUUCGAUGUCGGCUCUUCCUAUCACUGCCUCGCAGCGGGGGCCAAAUGCAGGAUUGUUCACCCACCAACAGGGAACGUGAGCUGGGUUUAGACCGUCGUGAGACAGGUUAGUUUUACCCUACUGCUGUCUGUUUUUCUACGGUAAUUUGGUUCAGUACGAGAGGAACCACCAAUUCGCAUCAUCGGUAUAGCCGCCGCCGGAAACGGCGAUGCGGCGAAGCUGCCAUGCGCCGGAUUAUAACUGAACGCCUCUAAGUUAGAAUCCAUGCCGGAAGGAAAGCCACCUACCGGCCCGGGGACGCCACGAGCAACGGUAGCACUGCCUGAGCCGCGAGCGACCACAAUUCACGGACCCGGGCCGACGAAUCCCUUGCAGACGACUUGAAUAAGGAACGGGGUAUUGUACGCGGCAGAGUGGCCUUGUUGCCACGAUCCGCUGAGAUUCAGCCUUGGUUCUGACGAUUUGU